GGCGCCGCCCUCGCGCGGCGGCCGUUGUCGGUGUUGGGCGCGUGCCGCCGCGUGUCGCGACAGUUCCGCCCGGAGCGAUGGCGAAGCCGCAGCUGCCGGCUGGUUUCUGCCCCUCCUCCGCCUCCCUCUGGCCCCGCACCUUUCCCAUGAAGCUGUGGCUGCUGGUCAACAGCCCGUGCGUCCACUCGGUGCGCUGGGACGCCCGCGGCGAAGGGCUAUUCAUCGACCAGGGGCUAUUCGAGCAGGAGCUGCUGGGCGUGGGGCCCAGCGCUGCCGGGGAGGUGAAGCUCUUCAGGACGAAGAACUACGGCAGCAUCGUCCGCCAGCUCAACCUAUACGGGUUCCACAAGCUGACGGUGAGUCUGGCCGGCAGCACGGUCGGGUCCCGGCCGAGGCCGGCCACGGCGGGGGAAGAUACCAGCUACGCUGAUGGGCCCCUGCACCACUUCUGGAACCCGCAUUUUUGCUACGGCUGUCCCGAUCUCCUCGUAAAGAUCAAGAGACUGACCAAGGCCGACAAGAAGUUGGACGCUGGCCUGGAGGUGACCAGCCGCCUGCCCGACGAUUUGCAGUCCAUUACUGGAAGGAGACAUGCUGCGGUCGCCCACGUCCCUCGGCGAGCUGUGGGAAACCAUAUACAACACAGAGAAGAACGGAAAGGAGAAAGGAAGACUUUGAGAUCUACUGUAGGAACACACAAACUGAGUAAUUUUCAAUGUUCUCAAAUUCAGGAAAAAAAAGUUCAUAGAAAAGUCAGUUAUUAUCUCAAUAAAAUGUUGCUUGAUGCAAUGUGCUAAGAGCUAUUAUUCAACACAUACUUGUUUUCUAAAAUAUGAAUUGUUAAGUAACAUUCAUGGACAUGAACUGAAAAUAUAUCCAUGGAUACUUUGUAAACUUCAAAACCUUGUAUUUUCCUACAAAUAAUAUUUCACCAGGCUCUGUCUCUCUUUAUUUUUUAUUUUGUUUUAAAUUAGCUUCUGAUGUUAUUUCACAUCACUCACAUUACGUAGCUCUUGGCCAUAUUGCUUUUCUGAUAACACUAAGAUGUGCUAAUAUGAGGCCUGCCUUAGAUAUCUGAAAGACAUUUUUCACCUUUCAUCCAAAGAAAAGUUCCCCAGCCCAGGACAUAGCAAACAGUGGCACAAUUACCUGGGCCAUUACUGGGAUGGCUGAGGAUAGGCAGUAUAGUGAUAGUGUAGCGCAGCAGAGACAUUGACCGAUGUGACAUUGGUAACCUCCAUUAGCACAACAAGGGGAAACAGAUGAGAUAAUCCAGAAGAUCCUCCUAAUUUUGGGAUGGGAAUGAGCUCAGAAAGCCUAGAGGUUUUGUAAAGCUUUUGCAAAAGGCUGUGUCUGAUUCACAUGGCCAGCACUGCCUCAUUGCUCUCUGCUCCCUGUGGGUAGACAGCUCCUACCCAAAUCUUCAGUCUAUGUUGUCAUCUCUCUUCUCUUAAGACCAUUUUAUAAUAGUGGGGAGCAAAUGGAACUAAGUGAAAUAAGACAUAGCACCUCAAACCUGCAAGGCUAUUUUAGAUGUUUAAGUACAGUACCCAAACAGGCACCUAAUUCACAGCCUGAGGUGUCCUUCCACAAGUUUACUACUGCAAAUCACUGAGUUGUGGUGCUACCUAAGGAUACCAUGGGUCCUUCAGAUCUCAGAGUUGCUAUGCCAUACAUGGAGAGAAAAGCUGGAGCAAUUUAUGUAAAAAUGUGUUCAGGGCAGAUACUAUGAGAGAAGGUUCUAUGGCUUUUAUGAUUCUGGGGUUCAGAUUAGAUGAUCAUAAUGCUGCUUUCUGGGCUCAGCUCUCAUGAAUCAGAGCCAAAAAUCACACAUAUGAACUCCUUUAAAUAAAGAUUUAGAAGUCUGAUUGUUGCAAUGCACAGUUCAUCAGUUGUAAUUUAUUGACUUGUUUUGGGUUUUUUUCCCCUGAUGCCCUCAUAGUGGACAUAAAUGAAAACAUUCUGAUCAACACUGCCUUUCUGUAUUUUACCUGAAGUGGCCAUGGCAAACCCCUGCAUAAAGAAGAUGAAUUAAUGAAAUUAUCGUGAACCACAGCUAAUGUACCUCUGGCAUAGUGAAGCAUUUAAACUACAUUCCUAAAGACAUGUUCCUCUUCUGGGGGAGUCACUCAGACCUUAAUUGUACUUAAUGCAAAUAUAUUUACUAAUGCAGAGAGAAAGGGAAGGAAUGGGAGAGUUUCUCAAUCUUUUUAAAAGCACACAGAAGAGAGAUGUCUAAAGGAAAAUGCAAAAUGAUAAAUGCUGCAUACUGUCAUCUCACCAAAUACGUAUCAUCUCACUUUGUGCUGCAAGUGGGAACAGCAACUGGCAAGUACAGUUGAAGUGUGUUUAAAAAUAAAAACCACCGGUCUACUAGAAGAUAUUAAGUGUAAUAUCAUCAAUGAAUCUUAGAAAUUCACUGUGCAGGGAACCACUUACAGCCAUAGGAAACAUCCUAACUGUCUGCUCAGGGGGCAGAAACAUCAUAACAGGACAACAGCCACAAAAGAGGGAGCACAGCCAGUGCUAGAAGAGGGGAAAGACAGUGGCCAGACUCUAGAAACACCAGAAGCCUGGGAAGGAAAGCAUCUUCUAAAAAUUGAGACAAAUCAAGACACAUCCCAGAAGAAAUACUUAUCUGAAUUGGAAAUAAAUUUAAAGAGACACUGGUGGCCCUACACUGUGUCAAGGACUGCAGCCAUCCAGCAAAAGUUCUGCUCUGCCUCACUGCCUGCCAAGCAUGCCUCCUUCCAGCACACUGAAGUCCUGUAAAAGCAUACUAUACUAUCGGAAGAGACUUCUGCCAAAAUGCAGAAGGAAGGAAGAAAAACUGUGAGACAUCAGUCUAUAUUUUAAAAGAAAGGGAUUGUUCUUUGGUGCCAUUAACUGUUGGAGUUCCAUCGAUUUCUUUACAAAAAGCUGAAAAUCUGGUUUAAAAAAAUGAAAAGACUAGUGAGACAUUUUAAAAAACUCGUCUGGCCAGAAAACUGUUGCCAAACUUGACAAGUUUAGAAAACCCAAAUAUCUAAGAACAUAAAACAUUCAGGUUUUCUACCUCCCAGGAGCAAGAAUCAAAAGG